GGUCGCGUGGCCCAAUGGCAAGGCGUCUGACUACGACUCAGCAACGAGGUCAUCUCGGGGCAGGAGUACAUCAGGAGAUUGCGGGUUCGAUCCCCGUCGUGACCU